rnacentral:rRNA from 1 species
GACGAACGCUGGCGGCGUGCCUAAUACAUGCAAGUCGAACGAGUGGCGGACGGGUGAGUAAUGUCUGUGAAACUGCCCGAUGGAGGGGGAUACCUACUGGAAACAGUAGCUAUUACCGCAUACCAUCGGAUGUGCCCAGACGGGAUUAGCUUGUAGGUGUGGUAACGGCUCACCUAGGCGACGAUCCCUAGCGGGUCUGAGAGGAUGACCAGCCACACUGGAACUGAGACACGGUCCAGACUCCUACGGGAGGCAGCAGUGGGGAAUAUUGCACAAGGGGCGCAAGCCUGAUGCAGCCAUGCCGCGUGUAUGAAGAAGGCCUUCGGGUUGUAAAGUACUUUCAGCGAGGAGGCGUUACUCGCAGAAGAAGCACCGGCUAACUCCGUGCCAGCAGCCGCGGUAAUAC